rnacentral:lncRNA from 1 species
CUCACAGUGGGGACCUGCUGGGGCCCCUGGACAUAAAACUCAAGAAAGUGUGGGAGCCCUCAAGGCUGGGGUUUUUAACUCUAACUGGUCCAGCCUCUGCCUCCAGCAGCUGGUUUAUUUCAGUCUAGUUGUUCCUGCUCGUUCUGGCUCCAGGGAGGCUUCUCCUCUCAGGCUUCUGCUCAUGUUCCAGGGCUCCCCCAGGGCCCCUGCUGACCAGCUCUUUUCCAAGGCUACACUCCACGGGAGGACUGGAGAACAUCUCAGGGAGGCAGCCACAGCCGCCACUGCGUGGGGCCCCAGCAAUGACAUGGUUUUGGACCUUUGUCUACAAAAUCUUCGCAUUGUUACUGGGAACAGAGGUGAGAGGUCCUCAGCCUGAUGUGGACUGUGGCAGCCGGUACUCAGGGGUCCGCUGGCUAGAGGAGGAGCCCCCUAAGUCUCAUCAGUGUGGAGGAUCCCCUGAGCCUUGGCCCCUGAUGGACUGAAUUCUGGGCCUUGGAAGCAGCACAGUUCCCAGACACUGCACUUCCUGGAGCCAGGGUAGACAAAGAUCCUGGGAAGGAAAAAGAAAGGAAGUGGAGUUGUUGGGAGGCCUGGCCCGGGCCUACAGAUUCCAAACCAGAGGCUCCCAUCCUGGAGUUAGGGUGGAAGAGCACCAGCAUUAUUAAACUUGAAACAAUUAUUUUAAAUUACUUUUGAAAAUACUUAUUUUUUAACCGUUAAUAACCAGAAGAGUUACAUUUGGAACACUUUCUAGAUCAGUUUUUAUUUAUUUAAAAAUUAUUUAUUUAUUUUUACAGAGAUGGGGUCUUGCUUUGUUGCCCAGGUUGGUCUUGAACUCCUGGCCUCCAGUGAUCCUCCCACCUCAGCCUCCCAAAGUGUUGGGAUUAUGGCAUGAGCCACUGUACCCAGCUUUGUAUCAGUUAUUAGAUGGUAGAAACUAGAGGCUUAAUUCUGGAAAGCAUAUCUUGACAGUAGUUUAAAUGUGAAAAAGUAUUUUUAGAAACAAAUUUUGGCUGAUGUGAACACAGAUUCAUUGUAGUAUCUGAUGUUGUCACAGUCUUCAAGAGAAUAAAAAACAACCAUUCACCAUCCUUGAUAUGUGUUGAAACGCAUGCUGCUGUGUGUGCAAAUGAAGCCACUUUUAUACUUGUAUUAUUUUGCAUCAACUGUCUAUUUUGAAUUUAAAUAAUCAUGCUUUGAUUCUUCAUAAGUUUUUACUUUAUGGAAUUGUUUGCACUGACCAUAAAAUAUAAAUAAAAGAAAUAAAUGUGAAAUAAAAAAGUGGUCCAAAGAGGAGGUCAUUUCUUUGGGA